CCCAAGACUGGUUACCCACUGAAGCUAAGCAGGGUUGAGCCUGGUCAGUACCUGGAUGGGAGACCUCCUGGGAAAACUUGGUUUCUGCUGGAA
rnacentral:rRNA from 1 species